rnacentral:ncRNA from 3 species
AGACCGUCGUGAGACAGGUUA